AUUGAACGCUGGCGGCAGGCCUAACACAUGCAAGUCGAACGAGUGGCGGACGGGUGAGUAAUGUCUGGGAAACUGCCUGAUGGAGGGGGAUAACUACUGGAAACGGUAGCUAAUACCGCAUACCAUCAGAUGUGCCCAGAUGGGAUUAGCUAGUUGGUGGGGUAACGGCUCACCAAGGCGACGAUCCCUAGCUGGUCUGAGAGGAUGACCAGCCACACUGGAACUGUGAACGGGUCCAGACUCUUAGGGGAGGCAGCGGGGGGGAUUAUUGCACAAUGGGCGAAAGCCUGAUGCAGCCAUGCGGCGUGUAUGAAGAAGGCUUUGGGUUUGUAAAGUACUUUCAGCGGGGAGGCGUUACCCGCAGAAGAAGCACCGGCUAACUCCGUGCCAGCAGCCGCGGUAUAC
rnacentral:rRNA from 1 species